UCGGGAAUCUUGGGCAAUGGGGGCAACCCUGACCCAGCAACUCCGCGUGAGGGAUGAAGGCCCUCGGGUCGUAAACCUCUGUCGGGAGGGAAGAAAGGGCCGUAGUCGAACAGGCUGCGGUCUUGACGGUACCUCCAGAGGAAGCACCGGCUAACUCCGUGCCAGCAGCCGCGGUAAUACGGAGGGUGCAAGCGUUGUUCGGAAUCAUUGGGCGUAAAGCGGGUGUAGGCGGCUUGGUAAGUCGAGUGUGAAAUCCCUGGGCCCAACUCAGGAACUGCACUCGAUACUGCCUCGCUAGAGUCCCGGAGAGGGUGGCGGAAUUCCCGGUGUAGAGGUGAAAUUCGUAGAUAUCGGGAGGAACACCAGUGGCGAAGGCGGCCACCUGGACGGUGACUGACGCUCAGACCCGAAAGCGUGGGGAGCAAACAGGAUUAGAUACCCCCGUAGUCC
rnacentral:rRNA from 1 species